rnacentral:rRNA from 1 species
CCGGGAAACUCACCAGAUAAGACAGCUGAAUGAUAGUCGGGCUGAAGACUCUACUUGACUAGCUGAGAGGAGGUGCAUGGGCCCGUCGUCAGUUCGUACUGUGAAGCAUCCUGUUUAAGUCAGGCAACGAGCGAGACCCACGCCAACAGUUGCCAGCUCGUCCUCCGGGAUGGUGGGGACACUGUUGGGACCGCCUCUGCUAAAGAGGAGGAAGGAAUGGGCAACGGUAGGUCAGCAUGCCCCGAAUUAUCUGGGCUACACGCGGGCUACAAUGGGUGGGACAAUGGGUAUCGACACCGAAAGGUGAAGGCAAUCUCCUAAACCCAUCCGUAGUUCGGAUUGUGGGCUGCAACUCGCCCACAUGAAGCUGGAAUCUGUAGUAAUCGUGUCUCAAAAUGGCACGGUGAAUAUGUCCCUGCUCCUU